rnacentral:rRNA from 1 species
AGAUGUGGGUUAGUCCCUUANNNAGCGCAACCCUUGUCGCUAGUUGCCANNAGUAAUGUCGGGGACUCUAGNGAGACUGCCGGUGUUAAACCGGAGGAAGGUGGGGAUGACGUCAAGUCCUCAUGGCCUUUAUGGCUAGGGCUGCACACGUCCUACAAUCCAANGUACAAAGCGAAGCGAGACCGCGAGGUGGAGCAAAUCGCAGAAAGCGUUGGUCAGUUCGGAUUGCAGNCUGCAACUCGCCUGCAUGAAGCUGGAAUCGCUAGUAAUCGCGGGUCAGNAUAC